GCCCUGUUAGCUCAGCUGGUAGAGCAGUUGCCUCUUAAGCAAACGGUCGGAGGUUCGAGCCCUCCACAGGGCA
rnacentral:tRNA from 1 species